rnacentral:rRNA from 1 species
GAUGAACGCUAGCGGCAGGCUUAACACAUGCAAGUCGAGGGGUAACAGGGUAGCAAUACCGCUGACGACCGGCAAACGGGUGCGGAACACGUACGCAACCUACCCUUAUCUGGGGGAGUAGCCCGAAGAAAUUCGGAUUAAUACCCACUAGUAUCUUUUGGUUGGCAUCACCUGGAGAUUAAAGUAUUUAUUGGAUAAGGAUGGGCGUGCGUCCUAUUAGCUAGUUGGUGAGGUAAAGGCUCACCAAGGCGACGAUAGGUAGCUGGUGUGAGAGCACGACCAGCCACACGGGCACUGAGACACGGGCCCGACUCCUACGGGAGGCAGCAGUGAGGAAUAUUGGUCAAUGGGCGAGAGCCUGAACCAGCCAUGCCGCGUGAAGGAUGAAGGCGUUCUGCGUUGUUAAACUUCUUUUAUUCA